rnacentral:tRNA from 1 species
GCUGGAAUGGAGUAGUGGUUAACUCGCUGCCCUCCCAAGGCAGAAACUCGGGUUCGAACCCCGAUUCCAGCA